rnacentral:tmRNA from 1 species
GGGGGCGUACCGGUAAUCGAUUCUCCGGUUCGAACUUGGAAAUUGUGCAAGUCGAGGGCUUAAAGUAGGUUGGCCUCGUAAAAAAACCUGCUUUAAAUUAUAAGUGCCAACGAAGAAUUGGCUCUUGCUGCUUAAUACAUAGUAGCAAGCGUCUUUUUCCACUUUCUCCGGCGGAGUGGAAAAGGGCGUGUCAAUAAGCCGGAAAGCGUUGAAUAAUUUGAACCUGUUAUUCAACGCGAGUAAAAAAAGGUUCACGUUGUAGGAAAAUGGGUUCGUGGUUCCUUGAUCCUACAACGGUUAAUUAAAAAACCACUAAACUUGUAGGACAAUUUUCAAGUUCCCGAGAAGACGAGGGUUCGACUCCCUCCGCCUCCACCA